GCCUAGUGGCCUUUUACAAUUCCUGAUCACCAUAAGAUGAAUGACAGAAGACGCUGCCCAAUUUCGAGAUCCCGGGGUCGAACGGCCCUCAUCAGGUCUACCAACUGGGGACAACAACAAGAUCGUGCAAUCCGCUUGAAACUUUAAAUGUUGUUGGCAUUGCCAUGAGGAGAAUGCUGUAUGUUUUCUGUUGGCAUGCUGGCCUUUUUUCUCAAAUACAAAGCCUUGCCUCC